UGUGUAGGUACCUACCCUCUGAUCUGGGAUAGCUGCGGGAAACUGCAGGUAAUACCGGAUAAUGUCUUCGGACCAAAGGUGUGAUUCCGUCUGAGGAGGGGCCUGCAUCCUAUUAGCUUGUUGGUGAGGUAAUGGCUCACCAAGGCAACGAUGGGUAGCGGGUGUGAGAGCAUGACCCGCGUCAUUGGGACUGAGACACUGCCCAGACAUCUACGGAUGGCUGCAGUCGAGAAUCUUCGGCAAUGGGCGAAAGCCUGACCGAGCGACGCCGCGUGCGGGAUGAAGGCCCUCGGGUUGUAAACCGCUGUCGUUGGGGAGGAAAUGCAGGAGGGCUAUCCCUCUUGUUUGACCGAUCCAAGGAGGAAGUACGGGC
rnacentral:rRNA from 1 species